rnacentral:rRNA from 1 species
UCGGGAAUUUUGGGCAAUGGGCGAAAGCCUGAUCCAGCAAUGCCGCGUGAGUGAUGAAGGCCUUAGGGUUGUAAAGCUCUUUUACCAGGGAUGAUAAUGACAGUACCUGGAGAAUAAGCUCCGGCUAACUCCGUGCCAGCAGCCGCGGUAAUACGGAGGGAGCUAGCGUUGUUCGGAAUUACUGGGCGUAAAGCGUACGUAGGCGGUGACUCAAGUCAGAGGUGAAAGCCUGGAGCUCAACUCCAGAACUGCCUUUGAAACUAGGUCGCUAGAAUCACGGAGAGGUGAGUGGAAUUCCGAGUGUAGAGGUGAAAUUCGUAGAUAUUCGGAAGAACACCAGUGGCGAAGGCGGCUCACUGGACGUGUAUUGACGCUGAGGUACGAAAGCGUGGGGAGCAAACAGGAUUAGAUACCCCCGUAGUCCCUGAGCGGGCUGGCAAGGCGCAU